GGGAAGAGCCGCUGGCCGCCAUCACUCUGCACACUCACUGUAUUGAUUCUCACAUUACAGAAAUGUCUUCCGACUCUGAAGAAGAAAAUGGUGUCAGGCGUGAAGCAGAUGAUAGAGAUGACAGUGAUGGAGGGAGGUAUGAUCGUAUGUCAAGAUCCCGAUCUCGUUCUCGUUCAGCCGAAGGGAGUCGUCAUUCUGAUAAUGGGAUGAGAGACAGCAGGCUUCGUGGCUCUGAUGAAGAGCAAUCCCCUGACAGGAAGGAAAAUGGCAUGAGGGGAGACUCUGAUAAUGAGAAACCUGACAAUCGGCGGGAAUACAGUCGAUCAAGGAGUCCAGAAAACAAGGAAUUGGUUGAAUGGAGCGGGGAGACUGAUGAGAAACGUAUGUCACGUAGUCGCAGUAAGAGCAAGCCAAGAGACCAAGAUUCCAGCAAGGACCAAAAAUCAAGCUCGAAUACAUCCAAGAAAAAGUCUCGAUCAAGGAGGUCACGUUCUCGCUCUCGAAGUAAGCGCCGUUCCCGUUCAAGGACUAGACGCUCACACUCGAGAAGCAGGAGGAGGUCAAGAUCAAGAUCUCGGUCUCGAGGCUCCAGAUCUCGGAGGAGGUCAAGAUCUCGUUCUAGAAGGCGUUCAAGGUCAAGGUCUAGGAGUGGGACACCAGUAGAUGGUGCUCGGCUUCAUGUAGCAGAACUAGAUGUUGACACUCGGAAACGAGACCUGGAGAGAGUUUUCGAGAAGUAUGGUCGUCUUCGAGAGAUUUGGAUGGCUCGCAAUCCUCCAUGUUUUGCAUUUGUUGUCUAUGCUCACCAGAAAGAUGCAGACCGGGCUCUCAAGGAAACAGAUGGCAUAAUGAUUGGUCACUGUCGGAUCAAGGUUACACAGGCAAGGCCCCGUGUACGUGGAGGCCGUAUGAGAGGAGGUUAUGAUCCUAAUUUGCGUUGUUACCAGUGUGGAGAGUUGGGUCAUUUCUCUCGGAAUUGCACAGAUACAAAAUUUGGCUACAAACGACCUCCAACCCCUCCAGGUUCUAGGAUGAACUUCAGGCCAGAAGGUAGCCGAAGGAAGAAUGCUUAUAUGGAGUAACAGCCCGGACAAGAUUUCUCCAGACAUGUGAUAUGGCGGGUUCCACAGCUUAGGGGUUAAUUUUGAGUCGUGUGUUAAUGUGUUGUUGUCAACGUAUGAGUUGAAAGGCAGUGAAGAAGUCGACAGUGUGAGGCAUGGUAAAGGACUACAUUCAGCAUGGGAGAUGGUAUAGCGCUCCACUUUGUGUGAGAGAUGGUAAUGGACACUACGUAGAGGUUAAAGCGCACACCACUUAGUGACGUGGUAGAGGAGGAGGAAGACCCUUCAUGUGUUGGGAAAGAUGGCAAAGAACACAAUGCCACAGGAAAAGGACUUCAUAGUGAGAGGUGGCAGAGGAUGCUUCUUACAGAAUGGGAGAUGAGCCCAUCGAGGAAGGCUACGCCACAGGUCACGAUCGAGGUCACGUUCUUGAGGAUUGUCAUCAAAGAUUUGGCAGACUGGGAUGCAGUACUGGUAUUCCUCUUUGAAGAACCAUACAUAUUUGGUUUUACAGUGAACAUAUUUACAGAACUAUGAUGCAUGUUAUAAGCUCUAAGACACUUCCAGGAUAUAUGGAAAUGUUUAGAAUGCCUUCAUUUCAAAUUAUUUUUUGACAUCUAUCAUCAUUUGUUAAAUUUUUUGAGUACUAUAUACUUAUUUUUGAAGUAUUGAGGAUUAUAUUAUUGAAGUUACUAAUGUAGAAAAUUGAAUGUGGUCAUUUAGCACAAAUUUGAAAGUGUUACCUGGGUCCCCAGACUAAUAUAUACUGUUCAAUACUUAUAUGGCUUUUCUUUAACUUGGUAAAUACAUUUAGUUUAAUUAAAGACUAUGGUAUUUCUUGGUUAUAGAAGCUGUGUUCAGUAAAGAAUUAGUGAAGUGUACAGGCUAUGAAGAGAUUCUGCAAUAACAUUGGGCACAUUCCAUUUUUUAUGCCUUUGGAGCUUGUAAUCUCUUCAGAAUUUGUACAAUAUACCUUAAAUAAAAUUUCCUGCACUCCAGUUCUUUAAAUGUUAACAUGUUAACUUGCUAAACCAGUUUGAUGACAUUUAACUAACAUAACAGGUUGUUAGCAGUGUUAUGAUCUUAACACUACAGAUAGUCAUGGGCAUCAGAAAUAGUAUCAACAAAGCAAUUUAGAAAUUCUCUUGUACAUCCGUGAAGGUUCUACGAGGAAUUAAGCUCGCAAUCCACAUGAUUUUAUAGUAGCUUUUCUGGCUCGGACACAGUUCAAACUUUCUGAUCAUUACCAGAAUUGGAAGAUAUUGGCAUUAUAUUGUGUAUUAAAAAUUUUUCUGGAUCUUCUUUUAACAAACUGGCUGUAUCCCACCGAAGCAGGGUGGCCCAAAAAGAAAAACAAAAGUUUCUCUUUUCAAAUUUAGUAAUUUAUACAGAAGGGGAUGGAUGGAUGUAAACAUUAAAUACAUACGUUUUGAUCUGUUUACCAUGCAAAAUAGAUUUAGAUAUGUUAUGGAAGUUAUUUUCAUAUACUGAGAAAUCUGGUACCUUCUAACACUUUAAAUUACACAUACUAUAUUGUUUACCCAUAACAGUUGAGAAAGUUUACUACUAAAUGGUAUGUAGAGAGAUUUAAUUGAUUAAACAUGUUUGCUCCUGGAAUUUAGCAGAACAUGGAACAAGGUAAAGAUGUUAGUUGGUGUUAAAAAUGGAAUAAUUUGGUGUAUUUUGAAUUCUACAUUAUUGUUUUCUGCUAUCAACUUGCUGGGCACUGCUACUCACUACUAUGGAAAAUACUGAUAAUUUUUUUAUUGAUCUUAAAAGCAAAACUAUAAUUUAGAAACUUGAAAAAGAAGUGCAACAGUGAAGAUCUCUGUCAGGGGGUUCUCUAGUCCAGUGAGUGACAACAGCUUAAUGAACUGACCAGCCUAUAGAAAAAUCUAAAUGCAUAAGUGUUUCAAGUAUGGCUGAUGGACUUGGGUAACCAGUUCAUUGUGAUGACCCUAAACUUAAAUAAUUUGAAUUGCAUUAUAAAACCAUUCAUGGCUGUUUUGUAAGUGGUUUACCUAAACUAGAGUAAAAGCUGUUCUUUAGGGAAGAUGUUUUAAAACGGUUACAUGGUCGUAAUGAGCUGUGAAUAACAGGAGUAUGCGUAUCCAUGGAAAACACUAAGCCUGAUAGUCUUUUGGUGCUGCAUGGCAGAGGUGGAAGAUGACAAAGGGGGGAAGGCAGCAUUGAGGGAGACAAGUGAUUUAUAGAGGUAUGUCAGUGGCAUAUUGAAUAUUCUUGCAAUGUAGGGCCAAGAGCUUACAUUAUUGUGACCUGAAUUUAUUUGCAGUAAUCCAUUGCUGGUUAGAAAGUAUUUUUGAAUAUGCUGUGUUGCUAGUUAGCAAUUUCUUCUGUUUGUCCUCUACAAUUAAGUCUAAUGGAUACUAAAUGUUAUCCUUUGAUUUAAUGUCAAAUCUGAGAUGAUCCAGCAGAUAUUUGUUUUAGCCUAUUCAAUAAAGGGGAAAUCAAUUUUUACAUUACUUAAGUUUAAUCUUCAGCCGAGUAUAGUUUGCAGCCUUAUAUAUAUAUUUUUUUUUAUACAGAAACUGCUGGGCUGUAUUUUUUUAAUUGAUUGUCAGUAUAGUGUUGAUUUUGCAGGGUUAAUUAGUUCUCAUUACUUAUGCCAAAGCUGUUUCUGAAAAUACAUAAAAAUAACCUUUUAUGUUGGUAAUGUGGUUUUCAUUAUCCGUCAUAGUGGGUAGUGAUGUAUUGUAUAAUAUAAAAAUCAUUUAGAUGUACACUUAAGAGGAUGAUUACCCUGAGCUUUUGAGUUUUUAUGCAGUUUAUGAAUAGCAGGGUCAACUGUUUUUGCUUUACCAGUGAUUUACUUGUCAAUGAUAAAUAAAAUAUUAGCUUUGCUGAAAAGGUCUCUUGAUGCUUGGAAAGAUUAUUUUGCUUUAAUUAUUUUAGAAUAAUUGUUCAAAUUUGAUUCCUUUUAGUUUGCAGAAAAUUGUUUCAAGAAGUUGCAGAGGGGAAUGGGCAAUGCCAAGAAAUUUUGUGUAUUACGUUUGGCUAUUGAAUAUUUGGUCCAAAAACUAAAUGCUUAUUUUUUCUAUAUGCUGUCAUCUCAUUUCAUAUAAUUGUAUGCAACGUAGUGAAUGGUUAUACGAUGACAGAAUUUACUUGUAAAAUCUAUUGUUUUGAUAUGGAUGUGAAUUCAAAUUGAGUAACUGUAUUUUUGUUGUGUAUAUGAAUUAAUAAAUCAUGAUUUAUUUA